UUCGGUUUUCUCCCCUAGAUCAUUACCAAAGAUCCACUCGUGCUCGAUGUCGACGGCGUGUUGUAUUACCGAAUCCAAAAUCCCACCAUCGCCGUAAGCAGCGUCACCAGCGCGGAGGAAGCCACCAAGCUCCUGGUUCAAACGACCAUGAGGAACGUUCUAGGAACCAUGUAUCUGUCGCACCUCGUCUGCAAUCGGGAAAGCGUUGCCCGGAGAAUUCAGUCCACUGUAGAUGAAGCUGCCAGAUGAUGGGGCGUCAAGGUGGAGCUUAUAGAAAUCAAGAACGUGAGGACGCAAGUAAAGGUGGUUCCUCCCUCAGAAGGAACGCCCUCGAGCAAAUCCAACACCCCCAGGAUCAUGAAGGAAGCCUCGGUCGUCAUCGGCAACAGCCCCGUCUCUUUCCAGUUCCGCUGCUUGACGUCGGACGCCCCGGAGGCCCCCAAGACCGGCCCACGGAACCCUUCUCUUGUCUUCAGCUACUCUUAGCUCGGCAUCAUGGAGACGCGGUGGUGGGAACGCAGUGCGUUGGUUUUUCGACGAGCCGCUCUUCUCAAAAAAAGGCCACGAGGACUUCACGGCCCCAAAGCGAUGUCGGUUGCUAGUGUUACAUAGGGGUCAGCUGGGUUUUUAAAAGUUUUAUAUUAUGUUCUCUCCCUCUUCCCGACUC